UAAGGAAUCUUCCACAAUGGACGAAAGUCUGAUGGAGCAACACCGCGUGCAGGAUGACGGCCUUAGGGUUGUAAACUGCUUUUAUUAGGGAAGAUUAUGACGGUAUCUAAUGAAUAAGGACCGGCUAACUACGUGCCAGCAGCCGCGGUAAUACGUAGGGUCCAAGCGUUAUCCGGAAUCACUGGGCGUAAAGCGUGCGUAGGCGGGAGCUUAAGUGAGAGGUUAAAUCGUGUGGCUCAACCAUAUCGAUGCCUCUCAUACUGGGCACCUAGAGGAAGGCAGAGGCAAGUGGAAUUGGUAGUGUAGCAGUGAAAUGCGCAGAGAUUACCAGGAACACCAAUGGCGAAGGCAGCUUGCUGGGCCUUUUCUGACGCUGAGGUACGAAAGCGUGGGGAGCGAACAGG
rnacentral:rRNA from 1 species